AACGAACGCUGGCGGCAUGCCUAACACAUGCAAGUCGAACGCCCCGCAAGGGGAGUGGCGAACGGGUGAGUAACGCGUGGGAACCUGCCCAGCAGUUGGGGAUAACCGCGGGAAACUGCGGCUAAUACCGAAUACGUCCUAAGGGAGAAAGAUUUAUCGCUGUUGGAGGGGCCCGCGUCGGAUUAGCUAGUUGGUGAGGUAACGGCUCACCAAGGCAUCGAUCCGUAGCUGGUCUGAGAGGAUGAUCAGCCACACUGGGACUUAGACACGGCCCAGACUCCUACGGGAGGCAGCAGUGGGGAAUCUUGCGCAAUGGGCGAAAGCCUGACGCAGCGACGCCGCGUGAGGGAUGACGGCC
rnacentral:rRNA from 1 species